rnacentral:ncRNA from 1 species
AAUAAAUUUUUUAUGAUUUAAAAAAUUCAUUUUAAAUUUAUUUUACAUACAAAUUUUAGUAUUAAUUUUUAAUUAUUUUAAAAAUAAUUAAUAAUUAACGUAGUAAUUAUAUUUAAAAAUUUAAGAAAUUAAGAUUUAGUAAUAUUUUAAUUAAUAACAAAUUUUGUGCCAGCAGUUGCGGUUAUACAAAAAUUGAAUUGAAUUUUUUUAGUUUAUAAUAAUUAAUUAUUAAUUUAAAAUAAAUAUAAAAUUAUUAAGUAAAAUUUUAAUUUUAUAAAAUUUUAUAUAAAAAUUAUGAUUUAAUAAAUUUACAUUUAAACUAGGAUUAGAUACCCUAUUAUAAAAUUUUUAAAAUAAAUACUAAAAUAGUAGAUAAUAAUUUAUUGAAACUUAAAUAAUUUGGCGGUAUUUUAGUUCAUUUAGAGGAAUCUGUUUAAUAAUUGAUAAUCCACGAAUAAAUUUACUUAAUUUAAAAUUUUGUAUAUCGUUGUUAAAAAAAUAUUUUAUAAUAAUAAUAAUAUUUAAAAAUUUUUAAAAAAAUUAAUUCAGAUCAAGAUGCAGAUUAUAAUUAAGAAUAUAAUGGAUUACAAUAAAUUUAUUUAAAUGAAAAUAUAUUUUGAAAAAAAUAAUUGAAAGUGGAUUUAAAUGUAAUUUUAUUUAAUUUAAUAAAAUGAUUGAAAAUUAAAAUAUGUACAUAUUGCCCGUCACUUUCAUUUAAAAAUUGAAAUAAGUCGUAACAAAGUAGAAGUACUGGAAAGUGUUUCUAGAAUGAA